GCUUGCUUUGGCAGCAUAUACUAAAACUGGAAUGAUCUAGAGAUUAGCAUGGCCCCUGUUCAAGGAUGGCAUGCAAAUUCGUGAAGCAUUUCAUAUUUUU
rnacentral:snRNA from 1 species